AUUAGAUUGCACGCGCAGUGCCCCAAAUUUGUUGUGAUCUGUGAGUAAGGUAAACGGUUGUCCAUACAAGUAGGUUGCAGCUUUUUGAGGGCCCACACCACCGCUAUGCACUCCCUUUCAAUGGCAGUGAAUAUACUUCGCUGUGCAAAAGUUUACGGCUUAGAUAAGCCCCGGGUUGCUAGCCACCAUCUGCUCCGACUUGGCUCAAUACUGCCC